GUCGUGUUUGGGGUAGUGAUUGUGGUCGUGAUUGGGGUCGUGAUUGGGGUCGUGAUUGGGGUAGUGAUUGUGGUCGUGAUUGGGGUAGUGAUUGUGGUCGUGAUUGGGGUCGUGACUGGCGUCGUGAGGUCUGGAUGAGGAUGAGCUGGUUUUCAGCUGGAAUGCACUUUUAUACUGUGUGACGUUCAAUACUAGACUAUGAAUAAUGUCAAAUAAUAAAGUUGGUGUCUAUGGGAAAUAACUAAUGUUCUACUCUAUGUAUAUGCAUUUGUAAAUAUCACCGAAUACAAUUGUUAAAAGAGAAGAUACUUGUGUAAAAAAAAAUAAGUGUAAAAAACUGUCACUUUCAAACGGAGCACUUUUGGGACUAGACGUGGAUUCAUUUCAGACCUGACCUGACCUGACCUGACCUGACCUGACCUGACCUGACCUGACCUGACUGAACAGCACCAUGUAUUUUACAUUAGGGCAGACCACUCUAUAGAGCUGUGUGCUAAACCCAGGUUCUCAUGGAAAAGCCAAGUAUUAAAUAAAAUACAUUAAUGCUCUGUCUUUAACCUGGAAAAAGUGUUGUAGCCUACAGAACAUGCUCACUAGUUGUCCUCUUCAGCCAUGCAUCUGACUACAACCUAAAAGCCUUGCAUGCAAGGAUAUGUGAGGUAGAUUUCCAAGCCAGCAUUUCUGCGGUAGACCAGCAUUUAGAUUAAUUGCAUUUCAUUGGAACACCAUUGAACUGGACCAUGAAAACUUUCCUAUGCAGUGUUCUAUUCUCCAAUUCAAUUGUCACAAUCCCUGAAUUGACUGGAGUUGUAAUGGAAAUGACCCCAAAGAAUAUAUUUAUAGCUAUUGCUCACAAAGAAUAUAUAUAUAUAGCUAUUGCUCACCCCAGAAAUGUAUGUGGAACAUUUUACAGAGACACAAAGCAGCCCACAGAGACUGCUGUCAGCUUCUACUUUAUGUACCAUCUUCAAAAGUUUUGCACUGUUAACUUAACGUUGGCUCAGGUUGUGACAAACCCCCUGGUGAGAAGAGAAAGUCUACACAAUCACCAUGGAGACCACACUCACUUCCCCAUACCUGAGCCACAAUCUCUACAACCCUGACCCCAUUCACACUGUGUGAUGUCCUGUUGGAAUACUCUAAAAAAUACACCCUACCUUCAUUAACAUUUUAGACAUUUAGCAGAGGCUCUUAUCCAGAGUGACCUAUAGUAAUUAGUGCAUACAUCUUUCAUACUUUUUCGUAUUGUCGUCCAUUCCUAAGCGUGAUCUCUGAUGAGUCAAGGCUUUGAAAGGGAACCCUUACUUUUACCUUUUGAAAUUGUGUCAGAUCAGUGAUAAUUAAUUCAAGGAUGGGAGGAAGAAAGGAUGCAUUUUGAAUGUAUUCAAACUGGGUCAAGGACUUGACCAGACCCUGCCAGGAACACUGUAGUAGUGCACAAUCACUGGAGGGGAGAGGGGAGCAGGACCCUGGGGGAACACAUGGUUUGACCAGACCCUGCCAGGAACACUGUAGUAGUGCACACUCACUGGAGGGGAGAGGGGAGCAGGACCCUGGGGGAACACAGGGUUUGACCAGAGUGACCAUGGUUUAGCUGGUCAAACCCCAGUCCUGAUAUAGCUAGCCUCCAUAGUACUGUAUAGUCCAGACACCAUAGUAGAGGCUAUAAAAGUUAGCCAUAUCAGGGCUAGUCAAACCAGUCGAGGCUGCUGAGGGGAGGACGGCUCAUAAUAUUGUCCUGAAUGGAGCGAAUGGAAUCAAACACAUAUUUUGGGGGUUUUCAUGUGUUUGAUGCCAUUCCAUUCACUCCAUUCCAGCCAUUAUUAUGAGCUGUCCUCCUCUCAGCAGCCUCCACCUGAGUUAAAAACCAAUAAUAACCACACACCUGUAAAACACCUUCAUACGCUGUGCAGUAUGCUAUGUAGUUAAUGCCUCGCCGGCUAAGUUGCAAAAUAAAUGUACACACACAUGUUAUUCAACCCUUUCCCCACACCGCUCGAGCACGUGAAUGGGCAUCUGCAUAGCCAGGCGCUAAAAUCCAACUCCACACGCUGCAAGGACCAUCGCUAUUGGAUAUCAGGAUGACACAAACUCACGUGGUUUAUUGAAAGAUAUUCAUCAAAACUAGGUUUCCCUUUUUAUCUGUGGAUUAAUCGCCGGUGUAGAGAAACACAUGAUUUUUGUAUGAUCUGGGUCCAAAUUUGACAAAGAACCAGCUAAAAAGGGGACCGUAUGCAUGAUCAGGUUAAAAUAACCACCAUGUUCAUCUCCCAGGACAAAACUGCCUGCAACAGCUGUCUAGCUUAACCUCUCAUGUUUGUUGUGACCUGUCCCCAAGUUAAUAUAGUUGGUGCACAGUGUUUUUUGUUAUUUUAACAUGCGUGUUAUGGUUGCAUCUGGUGGGGAUAUACAAAAUCAACAUGUGUAUGAUGGCACACGCAGAAUCUGGCACGUAGUGUAGUCAGCAUGUAAGUCAGAGUGAUGCUUCCACUGAUUGAUCUCAAUCUGGAGAGGCCUUGGCUUGGAGUGUUGCUGUCACUAAACUACUUGAUUGAACUGAUUGUCACCUCCGGAGAAAAGGGAAGGAAACACCAAAUUGGUCCAAUCAAGGCAUGAUUAGUUGAAUCAGUCGCCUCCAGGCGCAGCGGCACUCCAGUACCAGGGCUUACUUAUCCUGGUUAACUUUUUUUAAAUGAUUCAGAGUCAGAAAGGAAAGUCAGAUUGUCAGGAGAUUUAUCAAGGUGUUUACCAAGACCAUUAAAUCCUAGUAAAAAUAUAGUGCAUUGUAAUUGCAGGUCCUGACAUAGCUACAUGUAGUGUUUCAGGGGUGUGUGGUUCUACUCUGUGUGUGUUCUGGAGGGUGGAAGGUGAACUUUGAACCCCACCAGACAAACCCAGGUUUGUCUCCCUUUGGGGCUUCAUCGCUCCUGCACGGUGUUGAUAAAAUUCCACGAUGGCGUGUUGAAUAAAGUGUAUUUAUUACUCUGUUGUAUUUUUCCUUUUCUUUUUUGUAAAUUUGAAUAAAAAAGGAUGUGUUUCAAAGAGAUGA